AGCUUUAUAGUCAAUAUACAAAUAUGAUAUUAGACUGCAAUUCUAAAGUAAUAAUUUUUAUUAAGGCUU
rnacentral:tRNA from 1 species